GAUGAACGCUGGCGGCGUGCUUAACACAUGCAAGUCGAACGAAGCCAAAAGGAAGCUUGCUUUCUUUGAAGCUUAGUGGCGGACGGGUGAGUAACGCGUGAGUAACCUGCCCUUCAGUGGGGAAUAACACAGAGAAAUCUGUGCUAAUACCGCAUAACGUCUUUUUGCCGCAUGACAGGGAGACCAAAGGAUUUAUUCGCUGAAGGAUGGACUCGCGUCCGAUUAGCUAGUUGGUGAGGUAACGGCCCACCAAGGCGACGAUCGGUAGCCGAACUGAGAGGUUGAUCGGCCACAUUGGGACUGAGACACGGCCCAGACUCCUACGGGAGGCAGCUAGUGGGGAAUAUUGGGCUAAUGGGCGAAAGCCUGACCCAGCAACGCCGCGUGAAGGAAGACGGUCUUCGGAUUGUAAACUUCUUUGAUUGGGAAGAAACAAAUGACU
rnacentral:rRNA from 1 species